rnacentral:lncRNA from 1 species
CCCGCCUCCCGGACGGCCUAUUUCAAGGUGCAAGCCCCGCCUCCCGGACGGCCUAUUUCAAGGUGCAAGCCCCGCCUCCCGGACGGCCUAUUUCAAGGCGCAAGCCCCGCCUCCAGGGCGGCCUAUUUCAAGGCGCAAGCCCCGCCGCCCGGGUGGCCUAUUUCAGGGCGCAAGCUCCGCCUCCUAGCCCUAUUUCAAGGUGCACCCUCUGCCUCCUGGGCGGCCUAUUUCAAGGUGCAAGCUCCUCCUCCUAGCCCUAUUUCAAGGUGCACCCUCUGCCUCCUGGGCGGCCUAUUUCAAGGUGCACCCUCUGCCUCCUGGGCGGCCUAUUUCAAGGUGCUCGCUGCACAGAUGGGAGUGGUUUUCUGCAGUGGUCACGGAUGAACUCAAUAACACCCAAGUCACACGCUGCUCCACCCUUACAGUGGCCUCGUAUCACAAAAGAACGUGUAGGUUGCUUUGU